GUGAAUCAUCGAAUUUUUGAACGCAAAUUGCGCCUUCUUUCGGGAGUCAUGCCUCUUUGAGGGCACCAUUUAACAAAUGAUGUGCGCGUCGUCUGUGCAUACUAGCGGCGUGCACACGUUGAUGAGCUCUUCCGAGAAAACCAGGUUUUUUCGGUGGCGCAUAAUGAACAGCGUGGGCUUUUUUUUUCGAUUCUCUUGUACUAACUAAAUUUACAC
rnacentral:misc_RNA from 1 species